rnacentral:rRNA from 1 species
CGAACGGGUGAGUAACGCGUGAGGAACCUGCCUCAAAGAGGGGGGCAACAGUUGGAAACGACUGCUAAUACCGCAUAAGCCCACGGGUCGGCAUCGACCAGAGGGAAAAGGAGCAAUCCGCUUUGAGAUGGCCUCGCGUCCGAUUAGCUAGUUGGUGAGGUAAUGGCCCACCAAGGCGACGAUCGGUAGCCGGACUGAGAGGUUGAACGGCCACAUUGGGACUGAGACACGGCCCAGACUCCUACGGGAGGCAGCAUG